UUGGAGGGCAAGUCUGGUGCCAGCAGCCGCGGUAAUUCCAGCUCCAAUAGCGUAUAUUAAAGUUGUUGCAGUUAAAAAGCUCGUAGUUGAAUUUCGGGGUCAGUAGGUUGGUCGUGCCUCGGUACGCACUGGUAUUAUUGGUUCCUACCUUCUGAAGAACCGCGAUGUCAUUAAUUUGGUGUCGUGGGGAAUCAGGACUGUUACUUUGAAAAAAUUAGAGUGUUUAAAGCAGGCUUACGCUUGAAUACAUUAGCAUGGAAUAAUGAAAUAGGACGUUUGAUUCUAUUUUGUUGGUUUCUAGGAUUGACGUAAUGAUUAAUAGGGAUAGUUGGGGGCAUUAGUAUUCAAUUGUCAGAGGUGAAAUUCUUGGAUUUAUUGAAGACUAACUACUGCGAAAGCAUUUGCCAAGGAUGUUUUCAUUAAUCAAGAACGAAAGUUAGGGGAUCGAAGACGAUCAGAUACCGUCGUAGUCUUAACCAUAAACUAUGCCGACUAGGGAUCGGAUGAUGUUAAUUUUUUAAUGACUCAUUCGGCGCCUUACGGGGAAACCAAAGUGUUUGGGUUC
rnacentral:rRNA from 1 species